rnacentral:tRNA from 2 species
UGGGUAGUUGGCUGAGCGGUUUAAGCGGCGGACUGUUAAUCCGUGUCGAAAGACAACGUAGGUUCGAAUCCUACACUACCC